CGCGAGAAUUGAUAUGUGCCCGAUCAACAGCGGUUCACUUUGGGAUACCUUUUGGACCCGUCUUGAAACACGGACCAAGGAGUCUAUCUAGUAUGCGAGUAAAUGAGUACAUGAAACUUAUUUGCAGAAAAAACUUGACUGUUAUGGGACUACGAGCAGCAUUCGCGUGCUGCUCCUCAAUCCCGGGGUAUUUUUAUCAACAUAUGCAGCAAUGCAUAUGGAAAAUAUACCAUGAGCAUACUGGAUACGACCCGAAAGAUGGUGAACUAUGCCUGAUCAGGUUGAAGUCAGGGGAAACCCUGAUGGAGGACCGAAGCAGUUCUGACGUGCAAAUCGAUUGUCAGAAUUGGGCAUAGGGGCGAAAGACCAAUCGAACCAUCUAGUA
rnacentral:rRNA from 1 species